GAAACAAGGACUCUGUUGUGCUAGAAUUAUAGGCUUGUGCAUGCUACCACACGUGGUUGUAUGCAGUGGUGGAAGCUCCGUGAUUGUAAGGCAUGCACUCUAUCAACCAAACUACAAGCCCGUAAGACACCAUUGCGUAGUAAUUCUCUGUUUGGUUGUGGGAUAGGGCCUGGGCAUGGGAGUCUCUUAUCACCCCAGGAAAGCUUUUGGAACCUUGGAAGACUCUGGGACCAUAUUGAUCAGGAGAGGGGCUCCUGCCUUGUUUGUCAUGCACUGGGCAGGAGGAAAUGCCAGCAGCUCCGGAAGUCACAGUAGAAUUAGCCCACAACCUGCACCAUUUGGAAUGUCCUAACAGACAAAUGGUCUCAGAGCUACACGGGCAGGAGGAAGAGCAGGAGGAUAUUAAUAUCCUCCUAGAUAAUGAAACAGGCUCAUUGGAAGGGACCCAGUCAGAACACAGUGAGCAACAUCCCCUGUCAAACUCCAAAGGCCUGCAGACACGGGAGACAUCAUUACAUCCCCUCCCCAGUGGAACUGCCUAGAGAUUGAAAAAAAGCCACCCACCGAGGACGCUCUGUGUCAUCUCCGCAUCUCUGAACACGCACUUUUCGUCUUCACAGCCUGAUGAAGGUCCUUGCAGGCGGAAACUGGGUCAUCCAUCUUUCUGCAGUCUACAGUUCUUGGCAAGUCUUCGCAUCGGCAACGUAUUUAUGGAGAACUUCCUCGAACACACGGGAUGGCCGUAUAAAGGACGGAGAGAGAAGCAACCAGGUGUGACUACAGCUCCACUGAGCCUCACCAGUCCAACUCGGAUGUGACCACCAGUGGCUCCUGCAUCCCCCGGGAGCUUAUUACAAGUGCAGUAAAGCAAAGACUGGCAAUGGGAGCUGCCACAGGAUCACACUAUCAUCAGUAGUGAUGGCCACAGGAUCACACUAUCAUCAGCAGUGAUGGCCACAGGAUCACACUAUCAUCAGCAGUGAUGGCGGCAGCUAGUGAUCUGUGCUGUCACCACACUGUGGAGUCUGCUGAAUUCUAAGGUGAUCAGAGGGAUGAUCUGGCUCCUUUCAGGUAGGGGAUACCCACACACUGUCUCUUUUCUUUUCCCUUCUUUUGCUGGCCACCUGCUCCAUCUUUAUUUUCUCUAUUUCCAUUUUCCCUCACCUCGCAGGUUCCCGUGCUUCAUCCAACCUCCUAUGAACACGUGACCUUAGUGCUUCUCACCGCCCUGCCUUCCAGACAGCAAUCGCAAUUGACUGAAACUUGGAUGUGCUAUUUUAUAGUCACGAGAACGUGUGAAACUGGCCUCAUUUACCGCUCCCCCCAAAUUACCAUACUUCCUGCUUAUGUGUGUGCCUUGCACAGCUGUUCCCAUUUGCAGAGGCCAUCACAAUGCUCAGAAGAUAAUCAGAGAAGCUUCUUAAGAACAACAUGCAGCCGUUCGGGGAGGGAAAGGAAACAAGCAGAAAUCAGUGCCCGUGCUGAACUGGAGUGGUAAUGAGCUCAGACGGGAACCCUGCUGGGACCUCCUCCGCCAACCCACACAGCUGGGAGGUUUGCGGUUUACACAACCCGGUUAGUGAUGCUCUGCGUUUGGCUGCUGAACAGGCACGGGCCCUCCUCACCAUGCAAGCCAUUUCCUGAAUGUGUCUUUGGUAGAGGGAAUUAAACUGCUAACUUGUUACUUGC